rnacentral:rRNA from 1 species
AAAAACAUCACCUCCAGCAUUCCCAGUAUUGGAGGCAUUGCCUGCCCAGUGACAACUGUUUAACGGCCGCGGUAUCCUGACCGUGCAAAGGUAGCAUAAUCAUUUGUUCUCUAAAUAAGGACUUGUAUGAAUGGCCGCACGAGGGUUUUACUGUCUCUUACUUCCAAUCAGUGAAAUUGACCUUCCCGUGAAGAGGCGGGAAUGCACAAAUAAGACGAGAAGACCCUAUGGAGCUUUAACUAACCAACCCAAAGAGAAUAAAUUUAACCAUUAAGGAAUAACAACAAUCUCCAUGAGUUGGUAGUUUCGGUUGGGGUGACCUCGGAGAAUAAAAAAUCCUCCGAGCGAUUUUAAAGACUAGACCCACAAGUCAAAUCACUCUAUCGCUCAUUGAUCCAAAAACUUGAUCAACGGAACAAGUUACCCUAGGGAUAACAGCGCAAUCCUAUUCAAGAGUCCAUAUCGACAAUAGGGUUUACGACCUCGAUGUUGGAUCAGGACAUCCUGAUGGUGCAACCGCUAUCAAAGGUUCGUUUGUUCAACGAUUAAAGUCCUACGUGAUCUGA